GUAGAUAAUUCAAGAUGGCUGAGAACAGAGAAGAUUCAGAAAACAGAUGGAUUCUAAUCCUGCGAAUCAUCUAAGAGCAAUGCUUGGUGAUGGAGGACCCCUAUCUUGGAGUGCUGCAGAGGACCUGCAUCCUGGGAGUGGACAUGGGAAAUAGUAGGAAGCUUGAGCACAGGUUGAACAAAGGUGAAGCAGAAUUACUGGUGGUGAAGGGACUGCAUAGAACAAACCCUUUGUUCAAGGAAGGAGAAAGGAGUCUGUGAAAGAGAGAUGACCUAAGCCGCUUCUUGAGCAGAAUAAAUACUAUUUCCUGUUACUGGAUGUUGCAAGUAGAUCCACCUGUGGAAGUCCCACCUCUGUAAUAUCCCAUGAAGGAUUUGCGAGUCUAACUCCCAUUCAUAGUCCCAGGAGAAGCACCUGCUGAGCAUAUUAUCAGCUGUGACAUUCUGGACUCCAGGAAGCUGCAGACCCAACUCCUGGAAAAUGAAGAGUGCUGUCUGAUUAGUACUGAUUUCAGUAGUCAGUCAUCACUAUACGGGAAGACUAAAAUUGAUUCUUGCCAAAGAUUGGUGGUAUGGUGACAGGAGUUUUCCACAGUCUUUGCUGGAUCCAAGAGUGCAUCGGCAAUGGGUAGCCAGUCCUAGAUAGGUAUCCCCAAAUGCAAAAUAUCCUGGAGCUUGUGAUGCAAGUCUCCUUCUCAAACGGUAUCUGGAGGAUCCACCACCUUCUUUGCAAGGUCCUGAAAUUGACAAAAACUAUCAGCCAUCGAUGGUGGUAGAGGCAUGACUACCUCAUUCAGAGAUAAAGACAAAAACAGAGGGGGAAGGACCAGAUGGCCGACAAGAUCAUUUCCAACUCCAGCUUCCCCAAUUCUGUGCUGUUCUUUCACCAUCCUGAAAGGCCUUUUCCCC